AAUAGAUACCCGGGUAGUCCACGCCGUAAACGAUGUCGACUUGGAGGUUGUUCCCUUGAGGAGUGGCUUCCGGAGCUAACGCGUUAAGUCGACCGCCUGGGGAGUACGGCCGCAAGGUUAAAACUCAAAUGAAUUGACGGGGGCCCGCACAAGCGGUGGAGCAUGUGGUUUAAUUCGAUGCAACGCGAAGAACCUUACCUACUCUUGACAUCCACGGAACUUUUCAGAGAUGAAUUGGUGCCUUCGGGAACCGUGAGACAGGUGCUGCAUGGCUGUCGUCAGCUCGUGUUGUGAAAUGUUGGGCUAAGUCCCGCAACGAGCGCAACCCUUAUCCUUUGUUGCCAGCGGUUAGGCCGGGAACUCAAAGGGGACUGCCAGUGAUAAACUGGAGGAAGGUGGGGAUGACGUCAAGUCAUCAUGGCCCUUACGAGUAGGGCUACACACGUGCUACAAUGGCGCAUACAAAGAAGAAGCGACCUCGCGAGAGCAAGCGGACCUCAUAAAGUGCGUCGUAGUCCGGAUUGGAGUCUGCAACUCGACU
rnacentral:rRNA from 1 species